ACAGCACCAACAACCAGCAGCCAUAUAUAUAGCAGCAAAUAAAUAAAGCGAUAUACUUAUUAUUAGCAACUGUGCCAAUUCAGAGUCUGAUUGGCAGUCAACUAAUAGCUGAACCGGCGAUGGCUCCCGGCGGCGUGGCACCAAGGAAGAACACGAUGGUCCUUUCCUGCGUGCUGGCCCUGAUGGUGCUCCUGCUGAUGGCCACGCAGGCGGUGGCGGAGGCGGCGGCGGCCGGCGACGACGGAGGCAAAGCACGCCGGCUGCUGCUGCUGGGGUGCCGCUACAGCGCCUGUAACUGCCGCACUUGCUCGAUAUAUGGCUGGGCGUGCUGCGUUUCUUGCUGCUAGAGAGCCGCGCGCCUUUGCUCUUCGAUGUUUCGGACGCAGCAGCCAGCAGAUGGCCCGGUGCCCUGUGCGGCAAUAGUUCUCAGCUUAUGAUGAUGAUGAUGCCCUUUCUAAUUUGCAAUAAUAAAGCUUGUGUGCACGAGCACUGCUGAAUAAAUUAAACCUCUUCCUUGGAUAA